CAGGUUUACCUGUGUGACUGCGUACCUUUUGUAUAAUGGGUCAGCGACUUAUAUUCUGUAGCAAGGUUAACCGUAUAGGGGAGCCGCAGGGAAACCGAGUCUUAACCGGGCGUUAAGUUGCAGGGUAUAGACCCGAAACCCGGUGAUCUAGCCAUGGGCAGGUUGAAGGUUGGGUAACACUAACUGGAGGACCGAACCGACUAAUGUUGAAAAAUUAGCGGAUGACCUGUGGCUGGGGGUGAAAGGCCAAUCAAACCGGGAGAUAGCUGGUUCUCCCCGAAAGCUAUUUAGGUAGCGCCUCGUGAACUCAUCUUCGGGGGUAGAGCACUGUUUCGGCUAGGGGGUCAUCCCGACUUACCAACCCGAUGCAAACUGCGAAUACCGGAGAAUGUUAUCACGGGAGACACACGGCGGGUGCUAACGUCCGUCGUGAAGAGGGAAACAACCCAGACCGCCAGCUAAGGUCCCAAAGUCAUGGUUAAGUGGGAAACGAUGUGGGAAGGCCCAGACAGCCAGGAUGUUGGCUUAGAAGCAGCCAUCAUUUAAAGAAAGCGUAAUAGCUCACUGGUCGAGUCGGCCUGCGCGGAAGAUGUAACGGGGCUAAACCAUGCACCGAAGCUGCGGCAGCGAACGUAUCACUUAAAGCGAUUCAGCGGGUUACGAUUGACGGAGCGAAGCGACGUCAAAGCGUAUACAAAGUCGAGUCGGUUUAAGGAUACGUUCGUUGGGUAGGGGAGCGUUCUGUAAGCCUGUGAAGGUGUGUCGUGAGGCAUGCUGGAGGUAUCAGAAGUGCGAAUGCUGACAUAAGUAACGAUAAAGCGGGUGAAAAGCCCGCUCGCCGGAAGACCAAGGGUUCCUGUCCAACGUUAAUCGGGGCAGGGUGAGUCGACCCCUAAGGCGAGGCCGAAAGGCGUAGUCGAUGGGAAACGGGUUAAUAUUCCCGUACUUGGUGUUACUGCGAAGGGGGGACGGAGAAGGCUAUGUUGGCCGGGCGACGGUUGUCCCGGUUUAAGCGUGUAGGCUGGUUUUCCAGGCAAAUCCG
rnacentral:rRNA from 1 species